rnacentral:rRNA from 1 species
AUUGAACGCUGGCGGCAUGCCUUACACAUGCAAGUCGAACGGCAGCACGGGUGCUUGCCCCUGGUGGCGAGUGGCGAACGGGUGAGUAAUACAUCGGAACAUGUCCUGUAGUGGGGGAUAGCCCGGCGAAAGCCGGAUUAAUACCGCAUACGAUCUACGGAUGAAAGCGGGGGACCUUCGGGCCUCGCGCUAUAGGGUUGGCCGAUGGCUGAUUAGCUAGUUGGUGGGGUAAAGGCCUACCUAGGCGACGAUCAGUAGCUGGUCUGAGAGGACGACCAGCCACACUGGGACUGAGACACGGCCCAGACUCCUACGGGAGGCAGCAGUGGGGAAUUUUGGACAAUGGGCGAAAGCCUGAUCCAGCAAUGCCGCGUGUGUGAAGAAGGCCUUCGGGUUGUAAAGCACUUUUGUCCGGAAAGGAAUCCUUGGCCCUAAUACGGUCGGGGGAUGACGGUACCGGAAGAAUAAGCACCGGCUAACUACGUG